rnacentral:misc_RNA from 1 species
GAUGAAGAACGCAGUGAAAUGCGAUACGUAAUGUGAAUUGCAGAAUUCAGUGAAUCAUCGAAUCUUUGAACGCAUAUUGCGCUCUCUGGUAUUCCGGAGAGCAUGCUUGUUUGAGUAUCAGUAAACACCUCAACUCCCCUUUCUUUUUUUGAAAUGGGAGCUGGACUUGAGUGAUCCCUACGCUUUUCUCACCGAAAAGUGGCGGGUUACUUGAAAUGCAGGUGCAGCUGGACUUUUCUCUGAGCUAAAAGCAUAUCUAUUUAGUCUGCCUAAAAAACAGAUUAUUACCUUUGCUGCAGCUAACAUAAAGGAGAUUAGUUCUUGUGCUGACUGAUGCAGGAUUCACAAAGACAGGCUUCGGCCGACUUUGUAAACUCGAUCUCAAAUCAAGUAAGACUACCCGCUGAACUUAAGCAUAUCAAUAAGCGGAGGA